GUGAAACCUUCCCUGUGUUUGUCAUGAUCAGUGUUUACCUGAUGAAUAGGCUUUGCAUCAAGGAAUGUUAGAAACUGAUCCGACCUGAGUGUCUGGUUUGCAGUGACAUGUUUAUCCUUGUCUAAGUUCCUGUUACCUACUCGGCUCCAACAAACUCGUUUCACUUUCACAGCAACAGUUUGGAUCACUGUGUCGGAGUCUGGGGUCUUUAUCUGUGGUGUGGCCAGGCUCCUGGCUGACACCCCCACCAGGGCUGAGGAAGAGAGUGGAGGAACUCAUUGAUCAACAGUACAGGAUCUGCAGUCUGGAGAUGAUGUUCAGAGUAGACAGAUGAAGAAACGCGCCACAGAGAACCUUGAGAGUAAUGAGUGAUGGCUCUUCAGGAGAUCAGUGUGAUCUUCACACACAGACCCUCGGCCUUCUCUGCUGCUGUGCUGCUUCUGACACUCGUCCUCUGCAGAGGAUCAUUUGUAGUGGAUGUGACACAGAGCUCCUAUCAGGCAGAAGAGAACCACAACAUCACACUGGAGUGGACGUUCACCACCAAACCAGACAUGCCCAUCUCAGCACUGAAGGUCUUCUGUAUCCUGAAUACUGAUCAAACAUACUUUACUCUGUAUUUUCUUCGUGGUGGUGUCGAGUUCUCAGAGGAUGAAGAGUUUUCUGGACGAGUCCAGAGUGACGAAGACGCCCUCAGAGAAGGACGAAUCAGACUCCAGCUGUCCAGACUCAGGACUGAGGACUCGGGUCUGUACCUGUGUGAGGUGGACACAGGUUAUGGCCGCGGCUACAACAGCUGCAGAGUCACCGUCUCUGAAUCAAAGCCUGAGAAGAAUGAAACAACUCAGCAACCUGGAAGUCUCCAACCACCAAAUCUGAAUGACGAGACCAGACGCCAGGGAAGAAUCGUCAUGACUGUAUUCAUCUGUAUCUCUGUGUUCCCGUGGGGAUUUAUGUUUUAUCAGAAUUGUAGAGAACACAGGAGGACUUCCUCACGCAAAACCACAAGUUCUUGAUGAAGACUUUCUGGACCUCGUUCAGGUUCAUGACUGUUAGCAUCUCAUCUCAGACUGUGAAUAGAAACACAUAACAUCCUGAUGAUAAACCAGAUUUGAAGUUUCCCGUUUUGAUGCUGUUCAGUAAGUUGGUGCUGGGAACCAACGGAGGGAAAAACAACAACUUAAACAACAGAGAAAACUGUUGAAUUCAGGGCUUCAGACCAACAUCGAUAUCUUUCAUCACAUUCUGAGAUAGAACAGCGGGAGAGUGACAGUCAGAGUAGUGCCUUUCUCAUGGACAGAAGCCCGAAACCGUACUAAUCACUACUGUCAAUAAAAGCACUGCUAAAAUAAUAAUGGAUUGGAUUUAUAUAGCGCUUUUCAAGGCAACCAAAGCGCUUUACAAUACCACUAUUCAUUCACUCUCACAUUCACACACUGGUGGAGGCAAGCUACAGUUGUAGCCACAGCUGCCCUGGGGCAGACUGACAGAAGCGAGGCUGCCAUAUCGCGCCAUCGGCCCCUCUGGCCAACACCAGUAGGCAAGUAGGGUAAAGUGCCUUGCCCAAGGACACAAUGACCAGGACAGAUUCGGGCAUACCGGGCAUAUGCCCGGUGGCUUAUUUUAUUUUUUAUUUUUUUGUAAUGGCAUGAACAAUGAGAGGUGGUGGAUUGGCCAGAUGCAGGUCGAUGUGUAGAAAUAACUCAGUUGUUUGGUGGUGGCUAUGGCGGGGCUUCCACAGAGGCCAGCAGGUGGAUGAGGGAAGGGGAGGCAGGAGGAGAGCCCCGAGGCGGCCGCCGGUCCAAGUGUCAGGUGAACUGAACUUCAGGUAAGAAGUUAUGACCUGCAGUCUAUCUGGGUCAGAUAUAAACCAAGUUUAGGUGCAGUUUAUUUUCGUUGUGCUGACUUUUUACCCUCAGUUGCAAUAACUCGUACUGCGUUCUAGCCAGCUUGAUGGAGUUUAUAUACAGCUGGGUGGGUGCUAUGAUGUUACUGAUAGUGAACUUUAUUUUAUUCAUAAGGUUAGUUAGUAGAGUUGCCAACGGCUCCUUAAAAAAAUGGGAUGGUCCCUCAUUCAGAGAAAAUAUUACACGUUUCGUAUUGAGCUGAGAAGAGACGCAGUUUGUCCCGAACUUUAGCUAGAAUGGAAAAAGACACAAAGCUGGAUUUAUUCUGUCGUUACGCGGCACGGCUGCCUCUUCUUCUCUCAUUCUCUCCCCCUCCCUCUCCUGUUGCUACUUCAAUCAUGAAACUGAUCAUUGAUCAGCUGAUCGGCUUUUCUCUAUUGUUUGUUUAUCGCCCAAUUUGCGCCAGAAAGAGGAAACCUGCAGAUGUCGCGCUAAACAACAGCAGCACGUUUAAGCUUGAUCAGCUGUUGUCAGAAUUUAUUUAAUAUUACUUUCUAGUAUCAGCUGAUGUUUGCUGGAGCCACAGCUGUAAAGCUGCUGGUCAUGAUGUCAGUUUGGAUAUGUGGUGAGAGGGAAACAUGAAGAUGAAACCAGGAGAUGCUCUUACUGAACCAUCAGAGCUGAACAGGUGAUGGAGAAACAGGUUUACCUUUUAGGUGACAUGAAUGAGUUGAAGGGAAGUUAUGAACUGUUUCUGAGAGACAAAUAACACCAGGAUCCUUUUUUUAUGUAGCUGACAGCUGGUAACUGUGCAGGGGCGGAUCUAGGAAAGUGUUGCCAGGGAGCAGGUAGGGCAUUAACAGGGAAAGGGGGGCACAAAGAAAUACUUUUCUUUCUUAUUCUCAUUUAAAAUAUCUCGCUUUUAUUAAAUAAUUAUCUAAAUCUUACAACCAAAGUUUUUAUCUGACGUAAAAUGUAUAGAAAUCAUACAUAUACCAACAAGACAGUGUACAUCACUGUCACAACAGCAUUUGUUUUCAUUCAAAGUCUUUAUGGCUUUAAUACCUGGUGGGCCGGUCUGUAGUCAAAAUGCCCGAUUUUCUGUCCCAGUCCAGCCCUGCAGGUUAAUACUGGCAGUGUCACCAUGCCAGCUGACUGCAUUUCAUCAUCAGCCAGUGUUGUUCUUUAUCAGUAUUACCAAAGUUUACCAUAAGGCAGCAUAGAAAGUAUUUACUUGCUUUCAGGUUUUAUUCAAAUGUUAGUCUUUUCAUUUGUUUCCCCACUUUUUUCCUGUUUCAAAAUCAAACACCAGUUUGUGAGAAGAUUAUCUUCUUUUUUUAAUAGGCAGAUAAAGUUUUGCAUUGGCUAAUUUGUCAAUUGUUUGUUACAAAUGUUCGUAUUUUAAUAGUAAAAAAUGUUUUUGCCCAAAACAUAUGUGCACUAUAUGUCAGUAAAAAAUACUAUGCAAAUAUUGCUGUCCUUGAAUGCUGAGUAAACACUGACAAAGCACUGAUUGUAUCUCUUGUACUUUAUCAACGCAGUAUCUAAAAACUUUGCACCGUAGUGGUUAAAAUCUCAUUCUAAUAAGAGUUAAAAGCGCAUUCGGUUAUUAGGUUUACAGGGUUAUUGAAUUAUGGUUAAUGGUUGGUAGAAUUUUUUUUAAACAUUAUCUGCCAAUUACAUCUGCCACCCUUCUCCAAAUCUGUGCCCCUACCUGGCCCCCCCAACAAAAAUUUUCUAGACACACCACUGCUGAUCACAUCUGAGGGCAACAUUUUUUUUUUUUCACAUUGCGUGACUUGAUUUUAUAUAUUCAGAUGUAACUAACCAUAUAAAUGUGAUGUUGAUGUUGAUGAUUUUUUCAUGUGAGCUGGUGAUGAUAUAAUGUAUGUUUCUUUUUAUCUGUUUUAGCACAUCAUCUUAAAUCCAACCUGCUUUUCAUCAUACAUGUUGAAACAAUGAGAAUAAGACAAAUUAAUCUUUAAAUGUUUAUUUCUGUAGGACACAACACGACUAAAUAGAGUUUAGAAAAAUCCACAAAGCAAAC
ensembl:lncRNA